GCGGGCCCAGGCUCAGCUAUUUUUGGGCUUGUUUCCAGGAAAAUAAUUUACUUUUCGUUGUGCGGUCUGUCAAGCUCAGUGGAGUGAUUUUUCCCUUCUUCUUCUUCUUCUUUUUUUUUUUUUUUUUCCAUGAGGCUGGACAAAUAAAUCCAGAACAAGCUGAGGAUUUAAAAGCCUUGCCUGCAGAGAUGGCCCGCGGCUGGGCUUAUCUGGUCCAUUAAAAUAAAGAGAAGAUCCCAGAUCUGCAUCCAGCUUGGUCGGCUAUGAUCCCCGGCAGUCAGGCGAUGAUAAUCAUGGCUCUGCUGACAUCACCUUAUGGGCUGCGGCUGCCCCUCAGGUGGUACACGGGAGACCUGGCCUAGGGGCACUGUAAUCCUGGUAGUCUGCAAGUGAAGGCUUGGGGAUCAGAAGUUCAAGGUUGUAGUUGGCUACACAGUAAGUUCGAGGCCAGCCCGGGCUAUAUGAGACCUUGUUGCAAUCAAUCGAUUGAUUUUUAAAAAGAAGAGACUAGCCUUUGAGGGCUUAAUUAAAGUUCCCUUCCUGACAUCAGAGACUCACACAGUCUGCAGCUGGAUGGAGCUGGAUUGAACUCAGAGAUGCUCUACAAACUCUGCUCCGUAUCCUCACCUGAGAAGCAAGAAGAACAAGUGGCCUCCUAUGAGUCUCAAUGUGAGGACAGUGGACACAGAGAGACUUAUCUAUGCGCCCAGUGCCUGGAAUGCAGAUACUGUGACUACUGCUUCAGCAGCCACUUUGGGCUGUGAGGCAGGCCUGAGUCUGGCAAUGGAAAGAAGCAGAAAGCUCCAGGGCCUUGGAGGCGCUUCUCUGGGCUUCCUUGAGGGGAGACACACUUACACUUGCAGCCAGCCCAGGAGGUGCAGGAUCCCAGCCCGUGAUACUUGCUGAGUCAUUGAUUGGUUCCAUGUGUGUGUCUUCUAAAACCAGAAGUCACUGUAGCAAAUCGCCUGGAAGAAACGACCCGAAGGAGAAGGAUUUAUUUCUUGCUCAGGGUUCAGAGGCUGCAGUCCUCUGUGGAGCAUCCAGGUGCAGGAAUUCACCUUGUGGAUGACAGAGUGUGAAGAAAGGUGGGCUGAAGAUGUGAUUUUUAAAGUCUCCAGGGCUGCGUGAUUACAGGCUUGGGGGAGAGCAGAGGAAGAGGAAGAGACAGAUACACAUCAAGGGACCAAACUCACCCAUGAAAAAUGGGGAUCACUGUGGAUUCUGCCUUUAGCUGACUGUGCUCUCUUGGAACUCCAGCCUGGAGAAGGAAGAGGACGGUUACAACGUUCCUCUCUGUAUACUGUCACCAAGAAGAGUGUUGGAGGCACGGAGCUCCUGACUGGCCUCUGGCUGAAUGACCACCUUUGGAGUACUAGGGUGGAUCUUGGGGGACAGUGGAGGACUCCAUAGCUUCUGGCUCUGCUCUAUCCCUGGCUGUCUAGCAGCUAUAACUAGAGUCAGAUAGGCCUGAAUCCAGUUACCUGUGCAACCCCCUCAGAAAGUACCUGUCUCUGAUUUAUCUGGCAAGGAUGAAUUUUCCUGUUCUUGAAUGCCACAUGGUGCGGCAGUGGCUUGGGCUCAACACACGUACGUCUCUUCGUUGGUCUUCUUCUCUGCCUGCAGACGGUGAGUGUGGCCUUCAGAUGAAGAUGUUGAACUCUCAGCUCCUCCUGCACCAUGCCUGCCUGAAUGCUGCCAUGCUCCUGCCUUGAUGAAAAUGGACUGAACCUCUGAACCAGAGAACGGUGGAGCAGUUGGCUGCACAGAGAGCUGCAGACAGCUCUUUGGCCCCGUCAAGCCUGUGGCUCACGUCCGUGGGACCCUUCUUAUCAUGUGCGUCCAUGAACACACAGGGUUCUGGGGCGGCGGCUGCUGUGACUGGAGCAGCUUCAGUUCCUUGCCCGGUACCCGGACUGCAGUCAGCUCCCUGGGAUGUAGACUGCAUGUGGUAGCUCCUGGCUGUGCAGGGCCAAGGCCUGUCUUUUCAUCGGCCUGCUAGAAAGUUCUAUUCGUGUAGGAUCAAGAAUAAGACUGGAGAAGUACCCUCGGGGGCAAAGGUAAGAUGGCUCAGUGUGUAAAGGCAGUUGCCACCAAGCCUGAUGACUUGAGUUCAAUCCCCAGGACCCACAGGACAGAAAGAGAGAACCUGUUAUGACACCCCCUCCCCCUCCCCCCCUUGCUACACACACACAUAUUAAAAUGCAAUGCAAAAAAUUUUUUUAAAAGAAGGUUUGACAACAGGUGUCAUUCUUCCUCCUAAGAACGCAGAGGCACUGGGGUAAGGACAAAAUGUCAACUAAUUAAUGUUUUGUUUGUCACCAUGGAAAGCUUGCCACGCUCCAGUCGCUCAGCGUCUUCUACCUCCAGUUGCAGCCGCUCAGCUAGUGAUUCAUCUCCUAAUGUUCUAAACAUUCCCAGCCCGGCUCCAGAGCCGCACAUCAUGUCUAAGUCCGAUUUGUCCCCCAGUCGCAGCCUUUCUGCUGGGGUGUGCAGGGCAGAUGGCUUUGAUCAGGGCCAAGGCUGUAUGCGUAAGGAAUUGCUAAUGUGUGUGCUGGCCCACAGCUCCAGCAGCAGCCAGAGCUUCAGGCUGAGACUGGGAAUCAGGACCCCCUUUCCGGGACCUGGAGUUCUGCUAUCCUGGAGAGGUAGCCGGAAAGGACCCUGGCGAAUGCCCAGGAGAACUCCAAAAUAGCCUGCUUCUUUGUGGUUUGUUGAGAUGUCUGUUGGUACAAGGCAAAGUAGGGAUGUGGCCAGCUCAGCUUCUGCAGGUACCCAGGGGAGGGGGGGGUCUUAGGAAUGGUGUUUGUGUGCGCACACACGCAUGCAUGUGUGUAUACCGGCUGUUGACUUUGUAUUUGGCACAGGCCACCACCUGCCUCUGCAGUUGAUCCUGCCCAGUGCUGAGCUGGGGAGUCAGAUGAUUGAGUUAUAGCUGCCGGGCUUCUUUCUGGAACCCUCAUAAUAAAGAUGAAUGAGCUGCCUGCUCCGAGUUAGGAACGCCUUCGGAACAGGGCUCUUUCCCUUUCUUAUGCACAUUAUGGAGAGAAAUUAUCUUAAUCUAAAAAAGAAAAAAAAAUCACAGAAAGUCUAAGAAAUGUGUGUGCCAGCCCUCCAAAGAGGGAGGGAGUCAGGCUGGGGGAGUGAAGGAAUGUUCUAGAACCUUUGGAGCUCUCUAGCUGUUGUGAGAACUUGGGGCUGGGGGUGGUCUUACCUUGUUCCCCUCCCCCAUGGUUUGAAGCUCUAGCCCCCACCCCCACCCCCACCUGGAGAUGGGGUAACUAAACAGGACAGAGGAAGUGAAGAUGGAACCCUGCUCCAUGGCACUGAAGAGGGGAGAGGGCCCCAAGCUCCGCUGCUAUCUAUGAACACAGUAAAGGCCUCUCAAGGAUUUGGGGAGGGGGGCCUGCCUUCUGUAGGCAAGACCCUCUAGAGCGCCCACAAUAGCCCAAGUGCCCCGUACCUGGGUUCACAGACAACACCGUGAUGUGGGGGCCAGUGUUUGUUACACAGCCUGAGCUGACUCCAGUACCCUCUGCCUCUGCGUGAAACAUGUGGAGGGCAUUUUGGGGGUGCCCCUUGGCAGGAGUCUGACAUUGGCCAAGGACAAGGAAGAAAGAAUCUGGUUUUAGGGUGGAACAAAGAAGUAGGCUCAGAUAGCUUGAUCAUCCUUAGAAACAGCGAUCACUGGAGUGAUCACGGGGCUGUGUGUUUAUUGUCUUGCUUGCUCCUUGACUAUUGUCUUGCUAGAUUCCUCAUUGUACUCCUCGCACUUAAUACUUCCAUGUAAUUAAAAUGGCAUAAAAAGCAGAUUGGGAAAAUUAAAUUUGCCUUCAGUCUCAGAAUUGACUGGGGU